rnacentral:rRNA from 1 species
GACGAACGCUGGCGGCGCGCUUAACACAUGCAAGUCGAACGGAAAGGCCUGCUUUCCCUUGUGGAUUGCGGGUACUCGAGUGGCGAACGGGUGAGUAACACGUGAGUGAUCUGCCCCCAACUUGGGUAUAAGCCUGGGAAACUGGGUCUAAUUCCCGAUAGGACUGCAGGGUGGUGCCUGUGGUGGAAAACGAUUUUCUAGUGGUUGGGGAUGAGCUCGCGGCCUAUCAGCUUGUUGGUGGGGUAAUGGCCUACCAAGGCGGCGACGGGUAGCCGGCCUGAGAGGGUGGACGGCCACAUUGGGACUGAGCUACGGCCCAGACUCCGACGGGAGGCAGCAGUGGGGAAUAGUGCACAAUGGGCGGAAGCCUGAUGCAGCGACGCAGCGUGGGGGAUGACGGCCUUCGGGUUGUAAACUCCUUUCGACCGCGAGGAAGCCACCUGGUUGGAAGGGUGGUGACGGUAGUGGUAGAAGAAGCACCGGCUAACUACGUG